AUGAAGAAGAUCAAGAGUGGGAAUGAGCUAGUGGAAGAAGUGAAGAAGAUUGAGAAUAACAUCAACGCUGGCAGUACUAUUUCUUCACAGCUUGAGCUGAGUAAUUCUCGGAUUCCCCUUGAUACAUGUGAGGUUCCAAUACCGUCACAUCUAGCUGAGCAAGAUAGCAAGUGCCUUGAGCAAGAGAUACCUCAGAUUGAAGAAGAUGAACUAGAAGACAAGGAACAAGAUGAUCAAGAGCUGCAAUUCCCAAGUGAUCAAGUUGAAGACUCAUCAUCUACUACUCCUGAAGAAGUACAAGAAGCUGCUGUAGAUGAAGAUGAAGAACCUGAGAUUCAUUGGCCUAUUGUCAUACAUGAGCGUGAUGUGUCAGGUUUACCCAAUCCUCUUGAUGACAUGCUUCCGUAUAAUUUCUUUGCUACUACCUUACGUUACAUGAUACCAUCACUUAGGAUUGAUUUGAAAACUCAUUUGCUUGGAUAUGAUGAUAUAUACACUGUUAGUGGCAUUACUCUCAUUUGUGAUGAUCAUAGUUAUUUUCCUCGUGCUAGUCCUAUGCUUAAUGAAACAUAUAAUUCCCAUGCUAGUCUUGAGCUUAAUGAUAAAUAUCAUCCUCAUGUUAGUGUUGAACUUGCCGAUUUCUACCAUCCUAAACAUGUGCUUUAUAGCUAUGCUUAUGUAAUUGAAUAUUCGAUUGAUGACUUGGAGGGUAUUAUCCCUCCACUUGCAUUGUCUCUUUCAUUGAGUGCUCUUUCAGGUUCUUGCUUGUGCAUGAAUCACUACAUGCUAACCAGGUUCGAGGUGACAUUCCUUGGGACCUUGGUGGAUCCUGAGCACGGAGAUGAGGAUAAGCAAUGGGCACACACGUGA
rnacentral:rRNA from 1 species